ACAGAGAAGGGCAGGGAGGCAGCAGAGCAGGGAUGGGGGAAGGAGAAGGAGGUACAGCACACACCGCGCUGAGCGGGACUUGCCUCCUCUUAGGACAACAGGGCUCAGGACGCUUUUCAGGCCUUUUUAUUUGUCUGUCUCCUGGCUGGAAUUCCCCGGCCCGCCGGAAAGCUUGGCAGCACCUCUCCCAGCAUUUCAACCUGCCCCUUGGGGAUUAGGAGAGGUUGCAACCCACAGAGCAGGGCCCAGGGAAACCUGUUUACUGCGCGAUUCGUGUCUGGUCUUGACAGCAGAAGACUUGGCGAGAUUGUGUCUGUGUCCCAGGCUCUGUGGAAGGUGGGAUUCGAGAGCAGUGAUCUAGGACACCCUGCAGAAGAAGCAGCAAAGCAUUUGAGCUGCUGUGUGGCUGCUUUUCACUGCAUUCGUUAUUUUGCUGCAGCUGGACUGCGGCAGAUGGUGGCCUGUACGGGGAGCCCCAG